rnacentral:rRNA from 1 species
UUUUGGAAGUAAAAGUCGUAACAAGGUCUCCGUAGGUGAACCUGCGGAGGGAUCAUUACUGAGUGAGGGCCUUCGGGCUCGACCUCCAACCCUUUGUGAACACAACUUGUUGCUUCGGGGGCGACCCUGCCGUUUCGACGGCGAGCGCCCCCGGAGGCCUUCAAACACUGCAUCUUUGCGUCGGAGUUUAAGUAAAUUAAACAAAACUUUCAACAACGGAUCUCUUGGUUCUGGCAUCGAUGAAGAACGCAGCGAAAUGCGAUAAGUAAUGUGAAUUGCAGAAUUCAGUGAAUCAUCGAAUCUUUGAACGCACAUUGCGCCCCUUGGUAUUCCGAGGGGCAUGCCUGUUCGAGCGUCAUUUCACCACUCAAGCCUCGCUUGGUAUUGGGCGCCGCGGUGUUCCGCGCGCCUCAAAGUCUCCGGCUGAGCUGUCCGUCUCUAAGCGUUGUGAUUUCAUUAAUCGCUUCGGAGCGCGGGCGGUCGCGGCCGUUAAAUCUUUCACAAGGUUGACCUCGGAUCAGGUAGGGAUACCCGCUGAACUUAAGCAUAUCAAUAAGCGGAGGAAG